rnacentral:rRNA from 1 species
UACGGGGGGGGCAAGCGUUGUUCGGAAUUACUGGGCGUAAAGCGUGCGCAGGCGGUUAUGCAAGGCAGAUGUGAAAUCCCCGGGCUCAACCUGGGAACUGCAUUUGUGACUGCAUGGCUAGAGUACGGUAGAGGGGGAUGGAAUUCCGCGUGUAGCAGUGAAAUGCGUAGAUAUGCGGAGGAACACCGAUGGCGAAGGCAAUCCCCUGGACCUGUACUAACGCUCAUGCACGAAAGCGUGGGGAGCAAACAGG